UACGUAGGGAGCAAGCGUUAUCCGGAAUUAUUGGGUGUAAAGGGUGCGUAGACGGGAAAGCAAGUCAGUUGUGAAAUCCCUCGGCUUAACUGAGGAACUGCAACUGAAACUACAUUUCUUGAGUGCAGGAGAGGAAAGUGGAAUUCCUAGUGUAGCGGUGAAAUGCGUAGAUAUUAGGAGGAACACCAGUGGCGAAGGCGGCUUACUGGACUGUAACUGACGUUGAGGCUCGAAAGCGUGGGGAGCAA
rnacentral:rRNA from 1 species